GGGUUGUGAGGUUAAGCGACUAAGCGUACACGGUGGAUGCCCUGGCAGUCAGAGGCGAUGAAGGACGUGCUAAUCUGCGAUAAGCGCCGGUAAGGUGAUAUGAACCGUUAUAACCGGCGAUUUCCGAAUGGGGAAACCCAGUGUGACUCGUCACACUAUCA
rnacentral:rRNA from 3 species